rnacentral:rRNA from 1 species
ACGACGAAUGCCUUGGCUCGAGGAUCGUUGAAGGACGCAGCGAACUGUGUUACACAUCUCGUAUUGCAGAUUUCCGAGAAAGAUAAGGAUUCUGAACGCAUUCUGCGAGUUGGGCUUGCCCAACUCACGUAGCAGACGGUGACCGCAAUAU